rnacentral:rRNA from 1 species
AUUGAACGCUGGCGGCAUGCUUUACACAUGCCAGUCGAACGGUAACAGGCCGCAAGGUGCUGACGAGUGGCGAACGGGUGAGUAAUGCAUCGGAACGUGCCCAGUCGUGGGGGAUAACUACUCGAAAGAGUAGCUAAUACCGCAUACGAUCUAUGGAUGAAAGCGGGGGACCGUAAGGCCUCGCGCGAUUGGAGCGGCCGAUGUCAGAUUAGGUAGUUGGUGGGGUAAAGGCUCACCAAGCCAACGAUCUGUAGCUGGUCUGAGAGGACGACCAGCCACACUGGGACUGAGACACGGCCCAGACUCCUACGGGAGGCAGCAGUGGGGAAUUUUGGACAAUGGGCGCAAGCCUGAUCCAGCAAUGCCGCGUGCAGGAAGAAGGCCUUCGGGCUGUAAACUGCUUUUGUACGGAACGAAACGGCUCUGGUUAAUACCCGGGGCUAAUGACGGUACCGUAAGAAUAAGCACCGGCUAACUACGUG